CCUACGGGAGGCAGCAGUGAGGAAUAUUGGUCAAUGGACGAGAGUCUGAACCAGCCAAGUAGCGUGAAGGAUGACUGCCCUAUGGGUUGUAAACUUCUUUUAUAUGGGAAUAAAAUGUUUCACGUGUGGGAUUUUGUAUGUACCAUAUGAAUAAGGAUCGGCUAACUCCGUGCCAGCAGCCGCGGUAAUACGGAGGAUCCGAGCGUUAUCCGGAUUUAUUGGGUUUAAAGGGGGCGUAGGUGGUUUUUUAAGUCAGUUGUGAAAGUUUGCGGCUCAACCGUAAAAUUGCAGUUGAAACUGGAAGACUAGAGUACAGUAGAGGUAGGCGGAAUGCGUGGUGUAGCGGUGAAAUGCAUAGAUAUCACGAAGAACUCCGAUUGCGAAGGCAGUUUACUAGACUGCAACUGACACUGAGGCACGAAAGUGUGGGUAUCAAACAGGAUUAGAUACCCUGGUAGUC
rnacentral:rRNA from 1 species